AUGAAGAACGUAGCGAAAUGCGAUAAGUAAUGUGAAUUGCAGAAUUCAGUGAAUCAUCGAAUCUUUGAACGCACAUUGCGCCCGCCAGUAUUCUGGCGGGCAUGCCUGUCCGAGCGUCAUUUCAACCCUCGAACCCCUCCGGGGGGUCGGCGUUGGGGAUCGGCCCUGCCUCUUGGCGGUGGCCGUCUCCGAAAUACAGUGGCGGUCUCGCCGCAGCCUCUCCUGCGCAGUAGUUUGCACACUCGCAUCGGGAGCGCGGCGCGUCCACAGCCGUUAAACACCCAACUUCUGAAAUGUUGACCUCGGAUCAGGUAGGAAUACCCGCUGAACUUAAGCAUAUCAAUAAGUGGAGGA
rnacentral:misc_RNA from 1 species